rnacentral:tRNA from 1 species
AAAAAGUUAGUUAAACUAUAACCUAAACUUGUCAAGUUUAAAUUAUUAAUAAAUAAUACUUUUUU